AUGCUUGUUUUUGUAGCAUAAAUACUAAAAUUGUAACACUACUGAGAAUGUUGGCGAGGCCCCUGGACAAGGAUAAUAGUCAAACUUACAAAGCGUUUCAUAUUUUC